rfam:Citrus clementina cultivar Clemenules unplaced genomic scaffold scaffold_3, whole genome shotgun sequence.
AGGAGCUGGAUGAGAAGAAACUCUCAUGUCCAGUUCUGUAGUAGAGAUGGCAUUGGGAAAGAACCAUCAAUUACAAC